rnacentral:rRNA from 16 species
GGAUGCGAUCAUACCAGCACUAAAUCACCGGAUCCCAUCAGAACUCCGAAGUUAAGCUUGCUUUGGCGAGGUAGUACUAGGAUGGGUGACCUCCUGGUGAGUCCUCGUGUUUCAUUCC